AAUAAUGUGUUGCAAUGCAUAUUUGAUUCAUUAUUAUCCUACCGAUAUGUGAAGAACAACAUAUUGCCACCCAUCACGGCUGCAGUGAUUGGGCCAGGUUAAUUGAUGGGAACACCUGGCCAGGUGUUUCGACGUUUACAUACCGAGGGGCGAGGAUAAGCAGGGAAUCUCCCUAUGUGAAGUUUAAUUUUGAGCAAAAUAUUGACACGGACGUACUUCAAGAUGAAUUAAAUCGUUUGAUCGUAACAUCCCUCCAAUGACGAGCUACGAACCAGGAAAUAAAAAGUGUACUGGUCGUCCUCGAUGACCCGGGCCAGGCCGAAGUCGGCGAUCUUGCAGAGCAGACUGUCGGAGACCAGGACGUUAGCCGCUCUCAGGUCCCGGUGGAUGUAGUUCAUCUUCUCGAUACUUCUCCAAACUGUCCGGCUCCCAGCUUCUUCACCAUCUUGAUGGAGGUCUUGGAGAUCUCCCAGGCGUCCUUGUCCCACGGCUUCUGGGCUCGGGGCUUCUUGCAGGGAUGCAGCGGGCGCCCGCACAGCCCCUCCGGUUGUUCUGGGGGAAGCAGCGGAGAGGAGAGCCAUCAGCAUAUCCGACCACUCAGCAGUGCUCCACUAGAGCACCAUUCCAGGAGUUGUUGUUCUCGCAAGAGUAGCCCUUGACAGGUGGCUUGUUGGGCAUUUUGGAGAGGAAGUCCUUAUUGAGCUCGAUUUUGAAGACUUCGAGGUCCUUCACCGAGGAUACAUUGGCUGGGAUGAGGUUCCACAGCUUGGGCCCGAGUACUGCGAAAGAUGUAUCGUACAUCGUCUGAUGUUUCGCCUUUCCCGACUUCGAGAGUUUUGGGAGCUUUGCGGUGAUCCCGUUGCGUUUAGAGCUUUGAAACUCGAUCCCCAUGUUGUUAGGAUGGUGUCCUUUGAGAAUCUUCCACAUAGUCAUGAUGACAUAGCGCUCCCUUCGCCUUUGGAGUGACAGGAGUUUCAGGCUUUUGAGUCUCUCCCAGUAAUUCAUGUCUUGGCAUUGUGCAAGUCUAGCAGUGAAGGUUCGUUGAAGGGCUUCGAUCUUCUGGGUGAGACCAACCUUUGACGGGUGCCACAAUGGGCAGCAGUACUCAACUGCGCUCCUGACCAUGCUCUUGUAGUGUCAUCAUUGUGGUUGUAUCUCUGCAUUUGAAUACAUUAAACACCAAGGCAGACAUUCUUUUAGCCUUCUUUAUCAUGGCAUUGAUCUGUAUUUCCCACUUGAGAACAGCUGAUACGAUUACACCCAGAUCUUUGACAGAGUCAGAUGGACGGAGUGUGAUGCCACUUGAUGUGUCAUACCAGAACUGCUCCUUGAAGAAGGGGAGUUCUUUGAAGGCGUUGUUUCUGUCGCAACUGUGGUAGAGGUACUCAAACAUGUCCUCCUGCAGCUGCAUGUUGUUCCGCUAAACCUGUACAGUUUAUUUCUUUAUGAAGCAUUUUGUCCACUCCCAUGUUUAUAAGAAUAUUACCAACUUGAAAUACAUCCUUUUAAGAUAUAUUUAGACUAGUGAAAAUGGUGCGUUAAUUUGCAAUUUGCAAGUUAAUUAUGGACACUCAUGCAAAUUAAUCAUGAUAAAAUAUUUGAAUUGAUUGACAGCCCUAGUUAAGUUAAGUAUUUUUUUCUCAUGACAAAAUUUCCCUUAUGAACUAUGGAAGAACUGUGAAGGCUCUAUGGCAAAUUAUUUAUUUUCUUCUAUAGAGACAGCAGUAACCAUUAUUUUUCUAAGCCAAUGAAUACAUGAAUGUUAGAGUGUAAGUGUCGCUCCAUUACAUUUAACAGGGGACCAGUGUCAUUUUGUGGAGGCAAAGAGGGGACUUCUGUCAUUCUGUACAAUCCAAGUGGGAACCAUCUUUUCUGUUUAACAGCACAAACAAAUUCUACACAUUAAACCUUCUUGAAGGUCUGUGUUUUUGCAGGUUCUGACAUAUGCUGUAGGUAACGACAUAAAAAUAACUGAUGAUAGCUUAAAAGCUGUUCAAGUGCAGGGAAGAGUGAUUGUUGCUUGAUUGAACAGUGAUCAAUUGUGGUAAUUAAAACUGAAGUCAUGUUAUUUUGGAAAAACAUAAUUUAGAAAAAACUGUCUCUUGCGUAAGUUCAUAUUCAAAGAACAGAAAAAGAUGUGCUCUAAAAUAUAAAAGAUGGUCCCCACUUGGAUUAGAUGUUAGAAGCAGUGAGAAAGCUACAGAGACAGUGCGUGGUUGUGGUCUAAAGGGCAGAAAUGUAAUUUCAUACUGCAAUACUCAAGCUUAACCUCUAUUUGCAGUUUUCUUUCUGAUUAUCACACAAUUUACCAAGUAAUGAGUGCACGUAGGCCU